GACAGAGGGUGCAAACGUUGUUCGGAAUUACUGGGCGUAAAGCGCGUGUAGGCGGCUAUGUAAGUCGGGCGUGAAAUCCCACGGCUCAACCGUGGAAGUGCACCCGAAACUGCGUAGCUAGAGUCCUGGAGAGGAAGGUGGAAUGCUUGGUGUAGAGGUGAAAUUCGUAGAUAUCAAGCGGAACACCGGUGGCGAAGGCGGCAUCCUGGACCGGUAUUGACGCUGAGGCGCGAAAGCGUGGGGAGCAAACAGG
rnacentral:rRNA from 1 species